GAUGAACGCUAGCUACAGGCUUAACACAUGCAAGUCGAGGGGCAGCGCAGUGUAGCAAUACAUGGGCGGCGACCGGCGCACGGGUGCGUAACGCGUAUCCAACCUUCCCGUUACUCAGGGAUAGCCUUCCGAAAGGGAGAUUAAUACCUGAUGGUGUUGAAAUUCCGCAUGUUAUUUCAACUAAAGAUUUAUCGGUAACGGAUGGGGAUGCGUGACAUUAGAUAGUAGGCGGGGUAACGGCCUACCAAGGCAACGAUCGUUAGGGGUUCUGAGAGGAAGGUCCCCCACACUGGAACUGAGACACGGUCCAGACUCCUACGGGAGGCAGCAGUGAGGAAUAUUGGUCAAUGGUCGGAAGACUGAACCAGCCAAGUAGCGUGAAGGAUGAAAGGUUCUAUGGAUUGUAAACUUCUUUUAUACGGGAAUAAAACCUCCACGUGUGGGAGCUUGUAUGUACCGUAUGAAUAAGCAUCGGCUAACUCCGUGCCAGCAGCCGCGGU
rnacentral:rRNA from 1 species